UAAGGAAUGAUGUAGAAAUAUGUCAGUCAGCAAUGACCUGAAACUAGGUGCUGCAUGGCUGUCGUCAGCUCGUUCCGUGAGGUGUUGGGUUAAGUCCCGCAACGAGCGCAACCCCUAUCAUUAGUUGCCAACAGGUUAAGCUGGGGACUCUAAUGAGACUGCCCGCGCAAGCGGUGAGGAAGGUGGGGAUGACGUCAAGUCAUCACGGCCCUUACGUCCUGGGCUACACACGUGCUACAAUGGCCGGUACAGAAGGAUGCCACUUGGCAACAAGGCGCAAAUCCCAAAAGCCGGUCUCAGUUCGGAUUGGAGUCUGCAACUCGACUCCAUGAAGCUGGAUUCGCUAGUAAUCGCAUAUCAGCCAUGAUGCGGUGAAUACGUUCCCGGGCCUUGUACACACCGCCCGUCGCU
rnacentral:rRNA from 1 species